rnacentral:ncRNA from 2 species
UACAUAGUUAAAGGUACAGGUGCCCGCAAAGGCUUCAUAGAAAAGCCGGUAAAAGGCCGGCAUGGUCACGCCACUGUAACGGGGAGCAAUCUCGCAUAGUUGCCACUGAAGUAAAUCACUUUGGGAAGGAGCGGGAAAGCCAUGAACCGGAGUCAGGAGAACUGCCUAUUUGACAAUCAUCAU